CGGAUAGCUCAGUCGGUAGAGCAUCAGACU
rnacentral:piRNA from 8 species